AAAUAAAACAAAACUGGGGAUAGUAGUAAUAUGCACUUCAUAGGAUUAUUGAGGGUAUUAAAUGAGUUAAUCUACAUAAAGUAUUUAGAAUAAUACAUGGCAUGUAGUAAGCACUGUAUAUGUGUUUGCUGUUACUACCAUUAUUACUUUUGCGACGAGGGGAUUGAAGGAAGAAGAGCUUCUAUGCUGCAAUGGGGAAAGGAGUAUAUCCUGCCCUGUGUGUUCCCCUAAUAUCUUGGAUAUAAAAGCCAUCCACAAAAAACACAGGGUCAGGAAUUUGAAGGUGUUAUUUGGGCAUCUUAGAGUGUGGGAUAUCAAGUAGGCAGUCAGAAUGGGAUAGAAUUCUUCAGUGGGAAGUAUUGGAUAUUUCCUUUUUGGAGCAGAGCAGUACCAUAUGGGGGAACAGUGACAGAGGGAUAAUCUAGGGUCAGGGGAUUUCUUAAGCAGUUAAUAAUGCUUUUUCUCUUAGGAACUAACCUGUCAGGUACUGAGAGGCUUUGAAGAUGGCUCUUCAGGUUGGGGACACACCUUUAUUAAGGGGCAAGACUGCUGCCAGGAGUUGAUUCACAUACUCAGAGGUAGGAUUGACCACACAAAAAAAAUGCUUUCAAGUCUUUGUUCUAAAUUUUCUUUGACCCUCCGUAAGUUUGGGGAAAGUCCCAGCCUCAGUAACCACCUCAGUAACCAUCCCAGACACAGUCUAGAGGAUAUGAACAGGCAGAGUGGGUCAUGUGGAAAACAGGCGCGUGGUGGGGAGGCCAAUUUGAGGAGCCAUUAGUAUUAAAAUGGAAAGUUCAAGAGAUACAAAAAUUAUAAACAAAACUUUAUCAAAUCAAAUCCAAUAAUGUAUUAAAAGGAUAAUGAAUCAUAACAAAAUGGAUUUUAUCCCAGGAAUGCAGGAUUGGCUUGGCAUUAGAAAAUCAAUCAUGCAGUUCAACAUAUUAACAAACCAAAAAGGAAAACCCAUAUGAUUAUUGCAAUAAAUGCAGAAAAAGCAUUUGACAACAUCUAACAUCCAUUCCUGAGUUUAAAAAACAAAAACCUCUUGGCAAACUAGAAGUAGAAGGGAACUUCUUCAACCUGAUAUAGGGCAUCUGCAAAAUAACCCACAGCUAACAUUAUAUUUAGUGGUGAAAACUGAGUGCUUUCCCCCACAAGAUCAGAAAUCAAACAGAGAUGUCCACUCUCACCACUUCUAUUCAGCAUUAUACUGAAGGUUCUAGGCAGUGCAGUCAGGCAAGAAAAAGAAGCAAAAGGCAUCCAAAUUGGAAAGGAAGAAGUAAAACUGUAUUUACAGAAAAUGUGAUCAUCUAUAUAGAAAAUCCAACUGAGUCCACCAAAAAUAAAACCCUACUAGAACUAAUAAGUGAGUCUAACAAGUUGCAGGUUAUAAGAUCAAUAUACAAAAAUUAGUUGUAUAUCUAUAUACUAGCAAUGAACAAUUGGAUACAGAAAGUUUUAAAAUACCAUUUACAAUAACAUCUAAAAAUAUGACUUAGGAAUAAAUCUGACAAAAGAUGUGGAAGACCUAUACACUUGUAUUGCUGAGAGAAAGAGGAGCCAAAUCAAUGAAAAACAUUCAUAGGUUGGAAAACUUAGUAUUGUUAUGAUGUCAAUUCUCCCCAAAUUGAUCCAUAGAUUAAAUGUAAUUCCUAUAAAAAUCUCAGCAGGCUUUUUGCCGAAAUUUACAAACUGAUCCUAAAAUUCAUAUGGAAAGGCACUACAGAGCCUGGUACAGUGUGUAGAAACCCUGGGUAGGGUUCAGCUUUCCCACAGGAUUAGGACUAUCAGUGGAGCACAUGUAGAGAGGAAAAACAGUGACAGGGCCUCCAGUUGCAAACAGGUCUACAAAGAAUAUGAACAAGCAAUUUCCUGAAGUGGAAAACCCAAAAAGCUAACAGGCCUAAUAAAAGAUGUUCAGAUGUAUUAACAGAAAAGUCUAAAAUAAAACUACAGUGAGAUUUUACUUUAGGUUUCACAAACAGACAAAAUUUUAAAAAGCUGGAUCAUGCCAAGUCCUUUAGUGGGGAUAUGGGGGCAUAGGGACCCUCUUGCAUUGGGAUUGGGGACUUUGGCCGCCAUCCCAGAGAUGAAUGUGGCACUAUCCCCAUGGGCCCUCCAAAGAAAUUCUCAUACAGGUCCAUAAAGGGUCAUGUAGAAGAAUGUGCAUUAUGGUGUAGUUUGCAACAGUGGGAAGUUGAAGGCAUGCUGGGUGUCCAUCACCAGGGGCAUACACAGGGAAAUAGUGAUGGGUGCACUCCACAGAGGACCUCUUAACCUUUAGACCAGUGAGUUAGAUGUACACAGGGCAACACGAUGAUCUUCAACACGUAGCACUGAGUGAAAAAGAAUGAACUGUAUAACAAUACUACUCACAAGUUACAAAUAUAUGCACAUAUACACCAAAUACACACCUUACAGAAAUGCACACAAAAGGAUGUAAGUUAAACACAUUUGAAAAAUGCCUGUGUCGGGGAGUCGGGAGGAAUGGGAGCAUGGAUGACAGGGAAUACAUAAAACAAGAAAGCGGUGGAAUUGCCAGUCACGGUGGCUCACACCUGUAAUCCCAGCACUUCGAAAGGCCGAGGCGGGAAGAUUGCUUGAGCCUAGGAGUUCAGUUCCAGCCCGAGCAACAUAGUGAGUCCUCAUCUCUACAAGAAAUACAAAAUUAGCCAAAUGUGGUGGUGUGUGCCUGUGGUCCCAGCUACCAGAGAGGCUGAGGUGGGAGGAUUGCUUGAGCCCAGGAGUCUGAGACUGCAGUGAACCGAGAUUGUACCGCUGCACUCCAGCCUGGGUGACAGAGUGAGACCUUGUCAAAAAAAAAAAAGAAAGAAAGGGGGAGGAGAAAAAACAAGCAGAAAGUGUCUGUUCCCUUGGCCUAGUCACCCACUCCCCAUGGCAUCAUCCUUUAGAGUCUGCUCUUCACUGAGGAGGAAACAGCCACACCUACACUCUGCUAACCUGAGGCCAGAAUGCCCAGGUGAGCCUGGCGCAGACGGUCUGUACUUGGCUGGUUUUGAGUAUGUGCUGGUGCGGCUCCUGCACACCCUCUCACCAGCACUGCAGCUGCCUGGAGCAGGUGUGGACAUGCAUUUCACCACACAGAAGUUGCCUGCUGUGAUCUACUAUUGAGGGUGGGGGCUGGUCACAGAGUUUGGAAGUGAAGAGUUAGAGCGGCCCAUUCCCUGUCAAACCAUAUGGUAACCAGACCAUAUGGUAACUAAUUUCUGGUCCACAUAACAGCCCUGCCAGUGCCCUGACUAUGCUGAGACAUGGGUGUAUUUUCCUGGCCUCAUUUAUAACCGUACCCUCUGACUUCCCCAGAAGCAGCUCUUGUAAACUCUUAGGGAAACUGAAGCCAGACUCACUAUGACUGAGAGAUUCUCUCCAGCUUAUCCUCUCCUGGAACUCUUCACCUAAUUGUAGCAAUACUGCUCCUUCCAUAACCAGCUUAGCUUCCAUAACCAGCAAAACAAAACAAUACCUUGUUCAGUGAUACAUACAUGGGAGGUGAAAUUUUCUCAAAAGCAGGCCAGGCACAGUGACUCACGCCUAUAAUCCCAGCACUUUGGGAGGCCGAGGUGAGUGGAUCACCUGAGGUCAGGAGUUCGAGACCAGCCUGGCCAACAUGGAGAAAUCCCGUAUCUACUAAAAAUACAAAAAUUAGCCGGACGUGGUGGCAUGUGCCUGUAAUGUCAGCUGCUCGGGAGACUGAGGCAGGAGAAUCACUUGAACCCAGGAGGUGGGGGUUGCAAUGAGCUGAGAUCGUGCCACUGCACUCCAGCCUGGGCAACAAAAGUGAAACUCUGUCUCAAAAAAAAAAAAAAUUUUUCCGCAAAAAUCGAGGAAAUGAGAACAUAAAGGUCAAGGUAGUGGUUUCUUCUGGGCAGGGGAAGGAGAUGAGGGAUCCACAGUUGGCUUCUCAAACUCUAUAAUGUUCUAGUUCUUAAGCCAGCUGGUGGGUAGAUGGGUGUCUCUAGCCUGGGCAACAAAAGCGAAACUCCAUCUCAAAAUAAGUAAAAUAAAAUUAUUUUGAAAUUAUAUUUGAACAGUGUGGUGUUUCACACAGUUCCCUCUUUGAACGUCUUGGUCCAGUGCAAGAUCUAGUGCAUGGCUCCUACUACCAGAGAGGGGCUGUGUGGGGGCUGCAGUAUACAGCACUUCUCUGACCUUCUGUGGGAAUCAUUCGACUUAACCUGAUUUUUGCCUUCCUCCUGCUCAUCAUGAUACUUUGUUGGUGUGCAUAUGUGUAGUAUUUAAAUACUUUAUUAGAUUCAAUCUGCUCUUUUCACAAUUUUUUCUGGUAACAUGGAAGCUAUAUCUUUUAUUAUCAGAAUCAGCAUCUAUUAUUAGGUGCUGCUUUAAAGGAACAUAACUGAUUUCAUUUUCUUAGUUGUUAUUCCCCCAUUGUUUUACCUUCCCUCCCUCCCUUCCUCUUUCCUUUUUUCUUUCUCUCUGUCCCUCAUUCUUUCUUGCUCUCACUCUCCCUCUCCAGUUGCUCCUUCUCCCACUCUCUAUUAUUGGAUUUUUUUUUAACGGCAGCACUUUUAUUUUUCCUUACACAAUGACGUGUUGCUGGGGCCUAAUGUUCUCACAUGACGGUAGAAAACCAAAAUUUGUUGUCAUCUCUUUAAAGAAUUUAGAAUUAUGUAGAAAAAAACCUUACAUAAAUUAAAAGGAUGAAUAUAUUUACAGGUGUAAAUCCAAACCGCUUCCAACUCAAGGCAAGUAACAGCCCACGGUGUUCUGGCAGGAAAACAUCAGCUAAGAAAGGAAACUGGGUCCUAUGGCUUGGACUUUCCAACUCUGACAGACCGGCAGGACAGAAACAACUGGUUCAGGAGCCCUUGCCAGCCUCUAGAGAAAUCCCAGAACACUCAGCCCUGAUGACACAUUAAUACCCUGCACAUAUUGGAGACUGCUGACCACGCAUACUCACCAAGCCACAGACUUGUCUUCCACAAGCACGUUCUUACCUCAGCCACAAAGUGCCCAAGCCACAUGUACUAAAGGUUGAAAUCAGAGACAUGUACAGGGUAUUAAACAGAUACCAAGGGGAACAGUUAACUUGAAUAUAGCUUGAAUAGAAAGUCAAAAUCAGCAACAAGUCUACAAUCCAGUGCUGAUAUCAGAUACAAGCUUCAAGGACAACUUUCUGUGUAUGUUUUUUUUUUUUUUUUUGAGACGUAGUCUCGCCCUGUU
rnacentral:lncRNA from 1 species